UGUCUAGACUUUCAAACCCUUUCAGGUUACCUGGAUUCACCGAGUUUAAUUGACAUCUCCGUUUUACCGCAUUGAAACGAACCCAAGACCUAUAGCUCGCGUGCCAAAGUCCUACGAAAGUUAAUCACGUUUGAUCACAAUCCAAAAUGCCAGCAACACUAAGAUGCAUCUCAAAUUUCAUUCAUCUGGGAACUGAACUCUAAUCCCCGAGUUGUGCAAUCUGUUGCUCUACGAGUGACAAAAUCUAAGCAUCAACCUCACUAAACACGUGAAUUUAUGUAAAUUUAUCGUUUCAUAAUUCUUGUAUUGAUCUUUCUUCACAGACUAUUACAUCCAUGUGAAAUCAA